rnacentral:rRNA from 1 species
GACGAACGCUGGCGGCGUGCCUAAUACAUGCAAGUAGAACGCUGAAGGAGGAGCUUGCUCUUCUGGAUGAGUUGCGAACGGGUGAGUAACGCGUAGGUAACCUGCCUGGUAGCGGGGGAUAACUAUUGGAAACGAUAGCUAAUACCGCAUAACAGUAGAUGUUGCAUGACAUUUGCUUAAAAGGUGCACUUGCACCACUACCAGAUGGACCUGCGUUGUAUUAGAUAGUUGGGGGGGUAACGGCUCACCAAGGCGACGAUACAUAGCCGACCUGAGAGGGUGAUCGGCCACACUGGGACUGAGACACGGGCCAGACUCCUACGGGAGGCAGCAGUAGGGAAUCUUCGGCAAUGGACGGAAGUCUGACCGAGCAACGCCGCGGGAGUGAAGAAGGUUUUCGGAUCGUAAAGCUCUGUUGUAAGAGAAGAACGAGUGUGAGAGUGGAAAGUUCACACUGUGACGGUAUCUUACCAGAAAGGGACGGCUAACUACGUG